UACGAAGGGGGCUAGCGUUGUUCGGAAUUACUGGGCGUAAAGCGCGCGCAGGCGGCUAUCCAAGUCAGUGGUAAAAGCCCGGAGCUUAACUCCGGAACUGCCAUUGAAACUGUUUAGCUUGAGUAUGAGAGAGGUGAGUGGAAUUCCCAGUGUAGAGGUGAAAUUCGUAGAUAUCGGGAGGAACACCAGUGGCGAAGGCGGCUCACUGGCCCGAUACUGACGCUGAGGCACGAAAGCGUGGGGAGCAAACAGG
rnacentral:rRNA from 1 species